CUCCAAGACCUGUGUCGCUGGCAUCAGUGUGCACCAUGAAGGGUAACUGGAGGUUUGGAUGGCUCAGGAUGGGAGGUGAAGUAAGCGCAUUUAUGGGUUCAGCAAUUUGAGAAAAAUUAGGAACAAAGCGGUGGUACCAACCGGCUAGUCCCAGGAAGCGCUGGACCUCUUUGAUGUCUCGUGGCACAGGGUUGAUAGUCAGUCCAGCCUCCUGAAGCUUAAGAAGGACUGAUUGGAGAUCGUUGAAGUGCUGAGCCACUGAUGGUGAAUAGAUGAUAAUAUCGUCAAUGUAGACAAAGCAUAUUUUUCC